GGACUACUGGGGUUUCUAAUCCUGUUUGAUCCCCACGCUUUCGUGUUUGAGUGUCAGUAUAGGACCAGGUCGCCGCCUUCGCCACCGGUGUUCCUCCUGAUAUCUACGUAUUUCACCACUACACCAGGAAUUCCACGACCCUCUUCCAUACUCAAGCUUUGUAGUUUUGAAUGCACUUCUUGGGUUAAGCCCAAGGCUUUCACAUCCAACUUUCAAAGCCACCUGCACACGCUUUACGCCCAAUGAUUCCGAACAACGCUAGGACCCCCCGUCUUACCGCGGCUGCUGGCAC
rnacentral:rRNA from 1 species